rnacentral:rRNA from 1 species
GACGAACGUUGGCGGCGUGCUUAACACAUGCAAGUCGAACGGAAAGGCCCUGCUUUUGUGGGGUGCUCGAGUGGCGAACGGGUGAGUAACACGUGAGUAACCUGCCCUUGACUUUGGGAUAACUUCAGGAAACUGGGGCUAAUACCGGAUAGGAGCUCCUGCUGCAUGGUGGGGGUUGGAAAGUUUCGGCGGUUGGGGAUGGACUCGCGGCUUAUCAGCUUGUUGGUGGGGUAGUGGCUUACCAAGGCUUUGACGGGUAGCCGGCCUGAGAGGGUGACCGGCCACAUUGGGACUGAGAUACGGCCCAGACUCCUACGGGAGGCAGCAGUGGGGAAUACUGCACAAUGGGCGGAAGCCUGAUGCAGCAACGCCGCGUGCGGGAUGACGGCCUUCGGGUUGUAAACCGCUUUCGCCUGUGACGAAGCGUGAGUGACGGUAAUGGGUAAAGAAGCACCGGCUAACUACGUGCCAGCAGCCGCGGUGAUACGUAGGGUGCGAGCGUUGUCCGGAUUUAUUGGGCGUAAAGGGCUCGUAGGUGGUUGAUCGCGUCGGAAGUGUAAUCUUGGGGCUUAACCCUGAGCGUGCUUUCGAUACGGGUUGACUUGAGGAAGGUAGGGGAGAAUGGAAUUCCUGGUGGAGCGGUGGAAUGCGCAGAUAUCAGGAGGAACACCAGUGGCGAAGGCGGUUCUCUGGGCCUUUCCUGACGCUGAGGAGCGAAAGCGUGGGGAGCGAACAGGCUUAGAUACCCUGGUAGUCCACGCUGUAAACGGUGGGUACUAGGUGUGGGGUCCAUUCCACGGGUUCCGUGCCGUAGCUAACGCUUUAAGUACCCCGCCUGGGGAGUACGGCCGCAAGGCUAAAACUCAAAGGAAUUGACGGGGCCCCGCACAAGCGGCGGAGCAUGCGGAUUAAUUCGAUGCAACGCGUAGAACCUUACCUGGGUUUGACAUGGAUCGGGAGUGCUCAGAGAUGGGUGUGCCUCUUUUGGGGUCGGUUCACAGGUGGUGCAUGGCUGUCGCCAGCUCGUGUCGUGAGAUGUUGGGUUAAGUCCCGCAACGAGCGCAACCCUUGUUCACUGUUGCCAGCACGUUAUGGUGGGGACUCAGUGGAGACCGCCGGGGUCAACUCGGAGGAAGGUGGGGAUGACGUCAAGUCAUCAUGCCCCUUAUGUCCAGGGCUUCACGCAUGCUACAAUGGCUGGUACAGAGAGUGGCGAGCCUGUGAGGGUGAGCGAAUCUCGGAAAGCCGGUCUCAGUUCGGAUUGGGGUCUGCAACUCGACCUCAUGAAGUCGGAGUCGCUAGUAAUCGCAGAUCAGCAACGCUGCGGUGAAUACGUUCCCGGG